AUGAACGCUGGCGGCGUGCUUAACACAUGCAAGUCGAACGAUGAAGCCCAGCUUGCUGGGUGGAUUAGUGGCGAACGGGUGAGUAACACGUGAGUAACCUGCCCUUGACUCUGGGAUAAGCCUGGGAAACUGGGUCUAAUACUGGAUAUGACUUCUCAUCGCAUGGUGGGGGGUGGAAAGAUUUAUUGGUCUUGGAUGGACUCGCGGCCUAUCAGCUUGUUGGUGAGGUAAUGGCUCACCAAGGCGACGACGGGUAGCCGGCCUGAGGGGGUGACCGGCCACACUGGGACUGAGACACGGCCCAGACUCCUACGGGAGGCAGCAGUGGGGAAUAUUGCACAAUGGGCGCAAGCCUGAUGCAGCGACGCCGCGUGAGGGAUGACGGCCUUCGGGUUGUAAACCUCUUUCAGUAGGGAAGAAGCGAGAGUGACGGUACCUGCAGAAGAAGCGCCGGCUAACUACGUG
rnacentral:rRNA from 1 species